UACCAGCUCCCUGAGUGGUAGGGAUGAUUAUUUGGCCUAAAGCGUCCGUAGCCGGCUUGGUAAGUCCUUCGUUAAAUCCAACGACUCAAUCGUUGGUCCGCGGAGGAUACUGCCAGGCUAGAGGACGGGAGAGGUUGACGGUAGUCCCAGGGUAGGGGUGAAAUCCAAUAAUCCUGGGAGGACCACCAGUGGCGAAGGCGGUCAACAAGAACGUGCCUGACGGUGAUGGACGAAAGCUGGGGGAGCGAACCGGAUUAGACACCCGGGUAGUCCCAGCCGCAAACGAUGCGGGCUAGGUGUUAGGGCAGCUACGAGCUGCUCUAGUGCCGCAGAGAAGUCGUUAAGCCCGCCGCCUGGGGAGUACGAUCGCAAGAUUGAAACUUAAAGGAAUUGGCGGGGAGCACCACAAGGGGUGAAGCCUGCGGUUC
rnacentral:rRNA from 1 species